rnacentral:rRNA from 1 species
GACGAACGCUGGCGGCGUGCUUAACACAUGCAAGUCGAACGGAAAGGCCCUGCUUUUGUGGGGUGCUCGAGUGGCGAACGGGUGAGUAACACGUGAGUAACCUGCCCUUGACUUUGGGAUAACUUCAGGAAACUGGGGCUAAUACCGGAUAGGAGCUCCUGCUGCAUGGUGGGGGUUGGAAAGUUUCGGCGGUUGGGGAUGGACUCGCGGCUUAUCAGCUUGUUGGUGGGGUAGUGGCUUACCACGGCUUUGACGGGUAGCCGGCCUGAGAGGGUGACCGGCCACAUUAGGACUGCGAUACGGCCCAGACUCGUACGGGAGGCAGCAGUGGGGAAUAUUGCACAAUGGGCGGAAGCCUGAUGCAGCAACGCCGCGUGCGGGAUGACGGCCUGCGGGUUGUAAACCGCUUUCGCCUGUGACGAAGCGUGAGUGACGGUAAUGGGUAAAGAAGCACCGGCUAACUACGUG